rnacentral:rRNA from 1 species
UUCCUACGGGCGGCUGCAGUGGGGAAUAUUGGACAAUGGGGGCAACCCUGAUCCAGCCAUGCCGCGUGAGUGAUGAAGGCCUUAGGGUUGUAAAGCUCUUUCGCUAGGGAAGAUAAUGACGGUACCUAGAGAAGAAGCCCCGGCUAACUUCGUGCCAGCAGCCGCGGUAAUACGAAGGGGGCUAGCGUUGUUCGGAAUUACUGGGCGUAAAGCGCACGUAGGCGGACAUUUAAGUCAGGGGUGAAAUCCCAGGGCUCAACCCUGGAACGGCCUUUGAUACUGGGUGUCUUGAGUACGAGAGAGGUGAGUGGAAUUCCGAGUGUAGAGGUGAAAUUCGUAGAUAUUCGGAAGAACACCAGUGGCGAAGGCGGCUCACUGGCUCGUAACUGACGCUGAGGUGCGAAAGCGUGGGGAGCAAACAGGAUUAGAUACCCGAGUAGUCC